CAGCAGCCGCGGUAAUACAGAGGGUGCGAGCGUUAAUCGGAUUUACUGGGCGUAAAGCGUGCGUAGGCGGCUUUUUAAGUCGGAUGUGAAAUCCCUGAGCUUAACUUAGGAAUUGCAUUCGAUACUGGGAAGCUAGAGUAUGGGAGAGGAUGGUAGAAUUCCAGGUGUAGCGGUGAAAUGCGUAGAGAUCUGGAGGAAUACCGAUGGCGAAGGCAGCCAUCUGGCCUAAUACUGACGCUGAGGUACGAAAGCAUGGGGAGCAAACAGGAUUAGAGACCCCUGUAGUCCCUGUCUCUUAUAA
rnacentral:rRNA from 1 species